rnacentral:rRNA from 1 species
CUGCGAAUGGCUCAUUAAAUCAGUUAUCGUUUAUUUGAUAGUACCUUACUACUUGGAUAACCGUGGUAAUUCUAGAGCUAAUACAUGCUAAAAACCCCGACUUCGGGAGGGGUGUAUUUAUUAGAUAAAAAACCAAUGCCCUUCGGGGCUCUUUGGUGAUUCAUAAUAACUUAACGGAUCGCAUGGCCUUGCGCCGGCGACGGUUCAUUCAAAUUUCUGCCCUAUCAACUUUCGAUGGUAAGGUAUUGGCUUACCAUGGUUUCAACGGGUAACGGGGAAUUAGGGUUCGAUUCCGGAGAGGGAGCCUGAGAAACGGCUACCACAUCCAAGGAAGGCAGCAGGCGCGCAAAUUACCCAAUCCCGACACGGGGAGGUAGUGACAAUAAAUACUGAUACAGGGCUCUUUUGGGUCUUGUAAUUGGAAUGAGUACAAUUUAAACCCCUUAACGAGGAACAAUUGGAGGGCAAGUCUGGUGCCAGCAGCCGCGGUAAUUCCAGCUCCAAUAGCGUAUAUUAAAGUUGUUGCAGUUAAAAAGCUCGUAGUUGAAACUUGGGCCUGGCUGGCCGGUCCGCCUCACCGCGUGUACUGGUCCGGCCGGGCCUUUCCUUCUGGAGAGCCUCAUGUCCUUCACUGGGUGUGUUGGGGAACCAGGACUUUUACUUUGAAAAAAUUAGAGUGUUCAAAGCAGGCCUUUGCUCGAAUACGUUAGCAUGGAAUAAUAGAAUAGGACGUGCGAUCCUAUUUUGUUGGUUUCUAGGACCGCCGUAAUGAUUAAUAGGGAUAGUCGGGGGCAUCAGUAUUCAAUUGUCAGAGGUGAAAUUCUUGGAUUUAUUGAAGACUAACUACUGCGAAAGCAUUUGCCAAGGAUGUUUUCAUUAAUCAGUGAACGAAAGUUAGGGGAUCGAAGACGAUCAGAUACCGUCGUAGUCUUAACCGUAAACUAUGCCGACUAGGGAUCGGGCGAUGUUAUUAUUUUGACUCGCUCGGCACCUUACGAGA